UGGUUUGAUCCUGGCUCAGGAUGAACGCUAGCGGGAGGCUUAACACAUGCAAGUCGAGGGGUAACAUGAUGUAGCAAUACGUUGAUGACGACCGGCGCACGGGUGAGUAACGCGUAUGAACCUGCCCUGUACUGGGGGAUAGCCCGGAGAAAUUCGGAUUAAUACCCCAUAAUUAUAUUUGGAGGCAUCUUCAGAUAUUUAAAGCUUCGGCGGUACGGGAUGAGCAUGCGUGACAUUAGCUAGAUGGUAAGGUAACGGCUUACCAUGGCUACGAUGUCUAGGGGGUCUGAGAGGAUGGUCCCCCACACUGGUACUGAGACACGGACCAGACUCCUACGGGAGGCAGCAGAGAGGAAUAUUGGGCAAUGGACGCAAGCUGAACCAGCCAUCCCGCGUGAAGGAAGAAGGCGCUAUGGUCGUAAACUUCUUUUCCAGGGGAAGAAAACCCGCUACGUGUAUCUGUCUGAAGGUACCGUAAGAAUAAGCAUCGGCUAACUCCGUGCCAGCAGCCGCGGUAAUACGGAGGAUGCAGGCGUUAUCCGGAUUUAUUGGGUUUAAAGGGUGCGUAGGCGGGUUAAUAAGUCAGUGGUGAAAUCCUACAGCUUAACUGUAGAACUGCCAUUGAUACUGGAAGUCUUGAGUGUGGUUGAGGUAGGCGGAAUGUGUAGUGUAGCGGUGAAAUGCUUAGAUAUUACACAGAACACCGAUUGCGAAGGCAGCUUACUAUGCCAAUAUUGACGCUGAGGCACGAAAGCGUGGGGAGCGACAGGAUUAGAUACCCUGGUAGUCCACGCCGUAAACGAUGAUCACUCGUUGUUGGCAAUACACCGUCAGCGACUGAGCGAAAGCAUUAAGUGAUCCACCUGGGGAGUACGGUCGCAAGAUUGAAACUCAAAGGAAUUGACGGGGGCCCGCACAAGCGGAGGAACAUGUGGUUUAAUUCGAUGAUACGCGAGGAACCUUACCUGGGCUUAAAUGUAGAGUGCAUAAACGGGAAACUGUUUUUCCUUCGGGACUAUUUACAAGGUGCUGCAUGGUUGUCGUCAGCUCGUGCCGUGAGGUGUCGGGUUAAGUCCCAUAACGAGCGCAACCCCUAUCGUUAGUUGCUAGCAGGUCAAGCUGAGGACUCUAACGAGACUGCCGGUGUAAACCGAGAGGAAGGUGGGGAUGACGUCAAAUCAGCACGGCCCUUACGUCCAGGGCUACACACGUGUUACAAUGGCCGAUACAGAGGGCAGCUACCUGGUGACAGGAUGCGAAUCUCGAAAGUCGGUCUCAGUUCGGAUCGGAGUCUGCAACUCGACUCCGUGAAGGUGGAUUCGCUAGUAAUCGCGUAUCAGCAAUGACGCGGUGAAUACGUUCCCGGGCCUUGUACACACCGCCCGUCAAGCCAUGGAAGCUGGGGGUACCUGAAGUUUCGUAACCGAAGGGAGCGGCCUAGGGUAAAACUAGUAACUGGGGCUAAGUCGUAACAAGGUAGCCG
rnacentral:rRNA from 1 species